CAUUUCCACCAUUGUUGUAAGCUUGAGCUCUCCAUUCAUGGAGAGCUAGUUUCAUUAUUGUUGGGGGAUUGAUGUAACCACUAAACUCUUAUGUAAAGCAUUUUGUUUUGAAUGAAUAUAUACCUCUUUCAUUGAUUGUUAGUGUUUAAUGUCUUUUCUUAAUGCUUGUUGUGAAGUUGCUACCCAUGACAUGAUUUAGGGUUUCUUGAUAUUGGGAAAUGUUGGGUAAACCUUGACUUGGGUUAAACACCUAAAGGAAAUAGUAUCUAGCGAUAGAACUAGGACUUUUGAUGUCUUAAAAUCUCAUUUCUUAAUGCAGAAAUAAUCAUUAGGUUUUCCAAGGGAUUGGAGUCUAAUGAGGAAGUCUAGGCUCUUUCUACCAAGGGAUUGGGGUUUG
rnacentral:lncRNA from 1 species